rnacentral:rRNA from 1 species
GAGUUGCGAACGGGUGAGUAACGCGUAGGUAACCUGCCUCUUAGCGGGGGAUAACUAUUGGAAACGAUAGCUAAUACCGCAUAAAAGUCGACAUUGCAUGAUGUUGACUUGAAAGGUGCAACUGCACCACUAAGAGAUGGACCUGCGUUGUAUUAGCUAGUUGGUGAGGUAACGGCUCACCAAGGCGACGAUACAUAGCCGACCUGAGAGGGUGAUCGGCCACACUGGGACUGAGACACGGCCCAGACUCCUACGGGAGGCAGCAGUAGGGAAUCUUCGGCAAUGGGGGCAACCCUGAUCGAGCAACGCCGCGUGAGUGAAGAAGGUUUUCGGAUCGUAAAGCUCUGUUGUAAGAGAAGAACGAGUGUGAGAGUGGAAAGUUCACGCUGUGACGGUAUCUUACCAGAAAGGGACGGCUAACUACGUGCCAGCAGCCGCGGUAAUACGUAGGUCCCGAGCGUUAUCCGGAUUUAUUGGGCGUAAAGCGAGCGCAGGCGGUUAGAUAAGUCUGAAGUUAAAGGCUGUGGCUUAACCAUAGUACGCUUUGGAAACUGUUUAACUUGAGUGCAGAAGGGGAGAGUGGAAUUCCAUGUGUAGCGGUGAAAUGCGUAGAUAUAUGGAGGAACACCGG